GGGCCCGCACAAGCGGUGGAGCAUGUGGUUUAAUUCGAAGCAACGCGCAGAACCUUACCCAGGCUUGACAUCCUCCAGAACCUCUUGGAAACAAGAGGGUGCCCUCUCACGAGGGAAUUGAGUGACAGGUGCUGCAUGGCUGUCGUCAGCUCGUGCUGUGAGGUGUUCGGUUAAGUCCGGCAACGAGCGCAACCCCUGUCGCUAGUUACCAGCAUUUAGUUGGGGACUCUAGCGAGACUGCCGGUGAUAAACCGGAGGAAGGUGGGGACGACGUCAAGUCCUCAUGGCCCUUAUGUCUGGGGCUACACACGUGCUACAAUGGCCGGUACAGAGAGCAGCCACUUCGCAAGAAGGAG
rnacentral:rRNA from 1 species